UACAGAGGGUGCGAGCGUUAAUCGGAAUUACUGGGCGUAAAGCGUGCGUAGACGGCUAUCUAAGUCGGGUGUGAGAGCCCCGGGCUCAACCUGGGAAUUGCAUUUGAGACUGCAUAGCUAGGGUGCGGAAGAGGGAAGCGGAAUUUCCGGUGUAGCGGUGAAAUGCGUAGAUAUCGGAAGGAACACCAGUGGCGAAAGCGGCUUCCUGGUCCAGCACCGACGUUCAGGCACGAAAGCGUGGGGAGCAAACAGG
rnacentral:rRNA from 1 species